CUUCGGGUAUUGCGCAAGUUGUUAAGUGCUCUUAAUGCUUUGCCAAUUUGGCUCCAAGAACAUCUGGUCAUGUUUUUGUGUUUAAUUCAGAGAACAUCAUCACACUGUCUUUCACACUCACUUUCUGAAACACCAUGUGAAGAAACAAGCUGAUGUCUUGCUGGCAGGGGAAGUAUCAGGAGCUGGACUUGUUGUGUCCCACACCUCCAAGCUCCCAGCCUGGGAACGGAAGCCGCAAGCCUCCGGAGAAAACAAGCAGACAAUCAGGUCAAAGGGCUCACCCUGUCCCAAUGUGAACCCAAAGGUCGUGACCCCGACUGCAGAGGAACUGGCACUGUGGAGGCAGAAGGAGUUGGCACAAGCGGUGACUCGGUUAACAUCCUGGAAUGUGGACAACAAUGACGCACUAAAGUACACGGGGGACUCUCGGCAAAGUUCAUACCUGCACAAAGUGUCAGCGGGUAGUGCCAUCUGUGAGCACUUAGCAGCAUGUGUGGCACGUACGUUCUUCAGGGCAAUGCGGUGACCGCGAAAAAAAAAAGAAAAGAAAAAAAAAAACAAUAGAAA